AAUCAUUCAUUCAAUCAAUAUUUUAAUGCAGUGGUCCCCAACCCCUGGGCCGCGGACCGGUACCGGUCCGUGGAUCAAUUAGUACAGGGCCA